rnacentral:rRNA from 1 species
CCCUUAGAUGUUCUGGGCCGCACGCGCGCUACACUGAUGGAUUCAACGAGUGUUGUUCUUCGGAGCAGAUCCUUGGUCGGAAGGCCUGGGCAAUCUUGUAAAUGUCCAUCGUGAUGGGGCUAGAUUUUUGCAAUUCUGAAUCUCCAACGAGGAAUUCCUAGUGAACGCAAGUCAUCAGCUUGCAUUGAUUACGUCCCUGCCCUUUGUACACACCGCCCGUCGCACCUACCGAUUGAACGGUCCGGUGAAGUCUUGGGAUUUGCUUUGCUUUCGUUUAUUCGAUGCUCGGCGAAGAACUUGAGUAAACCUUACCGUUUAGAGGAAGGUGAAGUCGUAACA